rnacentral:rRNA from 1 species
UACAGAGGGUGCGAGCGUUAAUCGGAAUUAUUGGGCGUAAAGAGCUCGUAGGCGGCUUGGUAAGUCGGAUGUGAAAUCUCCAUGCUUAACGUGGAGCGGCCAUCUGAUACUGCUAUGGCUUGAGUCCGGUAGGGGCCCACGGAAUUCCUGGUGUAGCGGUGAAAUGCGCAGAUAUCAGGAGGAACACCGGUGGCGAAGGCGGUGGGCUGGGCAGUCACUGACGCUGAGGCGCGAAAGCUCGGGGAGCGAACGGG